rfam:Bifidobacterium saguini DSM 23967 Contig03, whole genome shotgun sequence.
GCCUGCCCAUAGUACGAGAGGACCUGGGUGGACGAACCUCUGGUAUGCCGGUUGUCGCGCCAGCGGCACGGCCGGUUGGCCACGUUCGGAAGGGAUAACCGCUGAAAGCAUCUAAGCGGGAAGCCUGCUCCAAGAUAAGCAUUCCAUGGAUCCCCGGAUCCUGAACCCCCCAUGAAGAACACGUGGUCGAUAGGCCGGACGUGGAAGCCCCGCGAGGGGUGGAGCCGACCGGUACUAACGGGGGAAGGCGAAACCCU